GACGAACGCUGGCGGCGUGCUUAACACAUGCAAGUCGAACGGAAAGGCCCUGCUUUUGUGGGGUGCUCGAGUGGCGAACGGGUGAGUAACACGUGAGUAACCUGCCCUUGACUUUGGGAUAACUUCAGGAAACUGGGGCUAAUACCGGAUAGGAGCUCCUGCUGCAUGGUGGGGGUUGGAAAGUUUCGGCGGUUGGGGAUGGACUCGCGGCUUAUCAGCUUGUUGGUGGGGUAGUGGCUUACCAAGGCUUUGACGGGUAGCCGGCCUGAGAGGGUGACCGGCCACAUUGGGACUGAGAUACGGCCCAGACUCCUACGGGAGGCAGCAGUGGGGAAUAUUGCACAAUGGGCGGAAGCCUGAUGCAGCAACGCCGCGUGCGGGAUGACGGCCUUCGGGUUGUAAACCGCUUUCGCCUGUGACGAAGCGUGAGUGACGGUAACGGGUGAAGAAGCACCGGCUAACUACGUG
rnacentral:rRNA from 1 species